UUUUGUUUUGAAUGUUUGUUGUCACCGCGCUAUGUGACUUGUGUGUCGUACUGUAGGGCAUGGCACGAAUCGCAAAGAGAAGGUGACAUUCGAAAAAGAGGACAACUUUCUCUUUUUAGCUCAAAAUGGAUUAACUUGGUAAUUUGUCUUUUGACUGUGGUAUAACUGUUCAAAAUGCAAGAUAUAAUGGAAAAAACUGAGUUAUUGACUGCAUUAUGCAUUCUUCGUUUACCAAAUGAACUGAUGGAUAAAAAUUUGUUAAAAAAUCAUUUCUCUCAAUUUGGCAGUGUUCGCCAAGUAAUUCUCAGCACCAAGAAUAACAGCUGUGUUAUUCAUUUUACAAGUCAUGAAAGUGCCAAGAAUGCUUAUGAAAAUGGAAAAAUAUUUGAAGGUAAGAAGCUCCACGUAUUUUGGAGUCACGUUAAAUCGCGCAGUACAGCGGUUGGAACUGGUUCACCAGAAGAGAGGAUAAAAGAACGCAAAAAAUCAAGACUCCCAACUAAAUUAUCUUCAAAUCGGGGUACAAAGACCAGUGAACUUGGCGGGGGAGAGGGAUCUUCAGAAAUUAGGAGGAAAUCAUUGAAACCAAAGCCCAAGAAAAAGAUGUCACCAGAAGUUGAAGCUGAAUUAUUAGCUAUGAGUGGUAUCGAUGAAAUGAGACCUAUUCAAAGACCUUCCCGUACUCUAAAGGCAUUGCCUCCAGUGCCAGUUUUUAAAGAGACUCCGCAGAAACCUGUGGAAGUGCCUGAAUCUGGAAUAGGAUCACUAAACAAGAUUGAAGAUUUGUAUUCAUUUUUGAGAAAACCAGCUGUCACUUCGGAAGAGCGAUAUAAUGUGUUGGAAGCACGUGAUAAGUUGAUGCGAACAAAAAAUGUGAAAGCAGCAAGCUUAGCUUUCGCAGAAAAAAAUGUUGGAACAUGUCCGGAUAUGUGUCCUGAAAAGGAACGGUAUCACAGAGAAGCAAAGCACCAAGUAUUCUGCUAUGAAAUGGAUUCAAAAUCUUCGAAACAGACUGCUGUGAUGGAUGCUUAUUUAGCUGUAAAACAAUACUCAAGAAGUUCUGCGGACCAAGACAUGCCUCUACCACAUGAUCUUCGGCCAGCUCCUGUCCUGCGAAUGACAAUGGAGUAUAUGCUGUCACAAAUUGUGAAUCGUGUUGAAGAUCCCAAUGAAAACUUGAGGGACUGGUAUUUUUUCCUCUGGGAUCGCACCAGAUCAAUAAGGAAGGACAUUACUCAACAAGAAUUAUGUGACACUGACACAGUUACGUUGUUGGAACAGUGUGCCAGGUUUCACAUAUUCUGCUCCGAAUACAUGGUAGAUGCAGAGAGUUCUGUGUUUGACCCAAAGAUAAACACAGAAAAUUUAACAAAAUGUCUGCAGACACUAAAAUAUAUGUAUAGUGACAUGUCACUCAAAGGUGAAGAAUGCCCAAAUAAGCCAGAAUUCCAGGCUUAUAUCCUGUUACUGAAUUUAAAUGACACUGGUCGCAUGAUUGAAGAGCUGAAGUUGAACUUGGAUAUCCAAGCUGCAGAUCCAAUAAAAUUUGCGUUGUCAAUUUAUGGGGCCCUUUCUACCAAUAACUAUGUAAAAUUUUUCAAACUAGUGAAAGAGACAACAUACCUUAAUGCUUGUAUUCUGCAUAGAUAUUUCACUCAAGUAAGAGUCCAAGCACUUUUUACAAUAUGCCAAAGCUACUCAUUUGGAAGCACAAAAUCACAGUUUUCAGUGUCUGCACUCACCAAGAUUCUUGCAUUUGAUGAUGAUGAAGAGACUGUUGAAUUUUGUGGACCCUAUGGGCUAAAAGUGGAGGGACAAGACAUAAUUUUAACUGGGAAAAACAGUAUUAACAGAACACAGCCUCCGCCUCAAUUGAGACGGUCUGUUUCACUUGUUGCCACCAAGAAAGACUGUUCUGUAGCAGAGGUAAUUUGUGGAGGCCCUGCACCUAGUAACGACUAUUACAAAAGCCACACACCUCACAACAGUUUUGACAGUAAUGGUAUUUUGAUGCUAGACGCUUAUGAUGCAACGGAUCAAGCAUUGCAUUUGCGUGAAGACAUUCUGAAAGAAAUUAGUCGCCAGGGUGAUGCAGGAAGUGAAACAGAUGAGAUUGUGCCUGAAGUUCCAAUACAGUCAGCUGAAAAACAUGAGAUUGCAUACCAUCAGAAGACAGAAUUAUUCAACAAAGUGCUUGAUAAACCAGUAAUCAGAACCCAGGUGGCUGUGGCUGUGCCUGUGCACGAUGAGAAGACAGGUGUCACUGAACCAUUAAGAUCAGAGCCAGAUGGAGGACCACCUGAAAGCAAGAAAAUUUCUGGAGGCACCCAAGUAUCUGCUGGAUAUAUACAGCAGUUGUUUAACAAUAUUAUCAACGAAUGUGUGGGUGAAAUGAUCAGAGACUGCUGCGUAGUUGUUGUGGAAGAGGAGCAUGUGAAAGCUGUAGAAAGAAACAGAAACGAAAUGUUACUUCAGAAACGGCAGAGGCUGAUGGAAGAAGCUGCAGAAUCAUUCUUGGAUGAGCUUAUCUAUGAAGUUGGAACUGAGCUUAUCAGGGACAUUGUUUACACGCUUGCUAAGGAAAUCAUAUAUGAAGAAAUUUUCUAUUCUAUUCUGGAUGAUGAAAUAGAACUGCUUGUUGAAACAACAAUGGAUAAUGCAAGGAAACAACGCUUGCAGGAAAUCUCGCAUAACAUUGCUAACAGAAAAUUGCUGUACUAUUUAAAUAAAUGGAGAUGGAGAGCACACAAGAUGAGUAAGAGGAGAGAGUUCUUGAGAUCUUUUUCAUUCCAGCCAUCCAAUUUGAAUCUUCAAGAGCAGGCAGAUCUGUUAGAAGUCCAUGGAAUUUCAAAAGAAUAUGAUUUGCAAUCACAGAGGUUGUUUUCUCAGCAAGCUUCUGUUUUCAAACCAUUCUUGCAAAUCCCUCCACUUCCAGAUAUUGGUGUUUUGGAAGUUAAUAAAAUAGUUGAAGAAGAUCUUACUAAACGUCUAAGAGAAAUAGAACAAGACUUUUCAGAUGUAUUUUGGAAAAUGAUGGUCUCCAUUCCUGAUACUGAAGAGUCUCCUCAUUAUUCAGACUUACUUGUAAAUUGGACAGAUCAGCUGUUCCACAAAACUUUGUUAUCUGAUGAUGACGUUCAUCUGUUAGAAUCAGAUGUACUAAUGAAAACUGAAGCAAGAACUCCUCUCCAUACAGUACUGGGGAUUUGUGUUCAGAGGAUUACUGGUGUUGCACCCACUCAAGGUUCAGUACCUACUGAAGCAAAUUAUAGAGGAACUAACGGAAUACUGUUCUUACUUUCAAAUAUUGUGGAAGGCACCGACAAAUCUUGUAGACGUCUUAUCAGGCUAUUGAGAGUUCUGUCACCACAACCCCGUGUACCAGUGGCAAUCAUUGACCUCCAGCAGUUUGACAGCAUGAAAAGCUGUUUAAAUGAGAGAUGGCUGCAUGAUAUUAAAAAUGGACAAGUACUUGCGGAUUUCAGUAUCUUUCAAGGAAAUAUCAGAUCUAAGAACAGUAUUAAAGAAAUGAUGGUGUCAGCACUAAAAUGGCUCGCAAGUAAAAGGCCACGUACACCACCUGUUUACAUAUGCUAUCUGCCGCAAUUGUGGGAAACCUGUUUUACUGAGAAAUUCUGGUCCAAGAUUGAAUGGUCUCUAGCAGACAAUUCAGUUUUUGUAAUGCAGCAGAAUCCCAAGACUAUUAUUCAUCUAUAUAAUGCAGCAAUUGAUAGACUGCUGUUUGCUUGUCUGGAUGAGGAUCUCUUAGAAUACUCAUUUGGACCACCAGAAUUUGAGGAUCAUUUAGAUGAUCCCUCACAGCACGCAAGUGGAUUCCAAGUGUGCCCAAAGUACUGGGGAUCUCCACACUACUGCAAAUUUUUGUUUGAUUUGAUGCAUAGUCUCCAAUUGUCAGAAGACAUUAGUUGGCCACCUGUAAAUUAUGUUGAUCUCCUUAAGUCUCUUGAAGAGUAUUGUACAGAAAAUCAGCUGCAGUAUGCAGUAUGGGAUAUAAACAGGCUUUUUGAACAUUACCUCAGGGAUAUUAUCAAGGAAGGCCAUGAAGAUUUAGAUUUCAAACAGUUUUUAGCUGAUUUCCCAUGGAUAAAGAUGGUAGAGAUUUUGGCUGAACAUAAACUGAGGAAUACUGAUUACACAGAUCCAUUUGUCAAAGGAUAUAGUAAGAGACCAAUUGUAGUGAUUGUAAGGAAAUCAUUUUUGGAGGUAUUUCUAACAACACCAUGGUGGUUAUCAGAGGCAGAAUCAUUACAGUCAGGUCUACAGGUACCAAAUGAGCCAGAGAUCAUGAACACUACACCCCAAAAAGAAGCUGAAAUCCUACCUGAAUGCCUAGAAACAGAAGUUGAUGAAACAGUCCAACUGGCAGACAGGUCAUGUCUUGAUAAGCAGGGUAGCCCUGUCAUGCAUGGGAGUAUGAGAUUAAGGAAUGUUUUAAGAGAAGUAUCUUUGUUGGAAAAUAAGGUGGACCACCUGGAGAAGCAACAGAGUUCCAUACUAGCAAAGCUGGAAAAGGAGUUAAUAUCUGGUGCUGUUGAUUUUCCACAUCACUCAGUGUCUUGGAAGUCAGAUGCUGAAAGAAUUACUCCAUCAUUCAAGUCUGAGGAUAGACUAAAAAUGUGCAGAAAUAGUGUUGAUGCAGCUGCCCUGCUGGAUUCUGAGAUGAAGGCACUCUCAUCAAGGCAAGAAAAAGUUUUGGAGGACUUGGCAAGAAGUAUUAAUGAAGCGAGUAUUGACAUUUUAUGUCACACUGUCUCACCAAAAUCUGACUGUGAAGGAAUCACUUCUUCACCCAGGUCAUUCCAGUCACAGAGGAAACUGAAACGUAGCAGGAAUGCUGUUGAUGCAGCUGCAUUGCUAGCCUCGGAAUUAAAGAUACUUUCAUCAAGACAGGAAAAAAUAUUGGAGGAUCUAGAAAGAAGUAUUGAAGAAGAGAAUUUUAUACUUGAGCACCAGGGAAGAAAGAAAUUAAAAAUAGAUGAGCUGUAACAGCUUUAAAAGGUGCCUUACUGCCUCACCAGUACAGCUGCCCUGGGUAUAAUUCAAUGAAAUUUUCCUACCUUUCUGACUCUUUAAUUGGUAUAAGGGAUGUACCUUUCCAUAGGAGACAAAUUAUCACUGACAAAAAUAUGAUUGCACAGAAGACUAGAAUAAAGGAAACAUCAGCUUCAACAAUGGCAUUAAAGCUGCUGCUUCUCUACAGCACUGUUAACUUUAUCCAAAAUGGUACCAUUUCUGCCAGGUUGGGUGUAGGAAGCUGAGAGGACAAUGUGUUUUUGUUAUUCAGUUUGCUAUAUUGUCACCACUGUGAAAGCUGUAUAUUGUGGCAAUCAAUAACGGAUGAAAAUUACAGCCGUAACAGUGUUGAGAAACAUGGAUCUGCAUGUUCACUCUUCAAUAUGCAUAACAUGGACAAUACGACACUAAUUUUAAGUUAAUGGUGAUUCAUCAAGCAGAGGCCACAAAUAAAUGUGCAAUAUGGAGAAAAUUUGAGGUUACAGAAGUGAAUCUUCAUGUGUGGUAUCAGGUGAAGAAUAUAUUAAAGAAUAUGAGUUAUGUAUGACAAAAUUUCAGGUUACUAAAGCAUAGAAUGUUUCAUGAAUUGGUGCAGCAGGUUGUUCAGUAUAUGCAAGAUAAACACAACACAGUCUUCCCACGUACUUGAGAAAUUCUCCAAGUGAACAUAUUGAACACGAGGAAGAAUUUUCCAACUGCAUGCAUCAGCAGCAAAUUCCAGUGACAUUUGAUAAAACCAGGCUUGCAAAUCAGCAUCAUGUAAUCAAUCUCACGUCAACACUGGCAAUGCUCAUCAGGUUUGAAUGGAAAAUGCUGUGCAGUGACGCAAGGGAGGUGUUGUACUUCUCCCCAAGCUUGCAAUUAGUAUACCACAAAGUAGAGAGCAAUGCGUUUUGCAUGUGCUGCAUUAUUCUCACAAAAGGAAGAAACAUUAUUUUUAUAUAUUUUAGUCUGGCCGACAAUUCGUAAUACGAACAGUGAUAUGCAACAGUUCUCUUGUAUGGAUGUUUUUUCCUCCUUAACACAAAAUGAAGAUGAACUGUUUUUAGCUUUUGUAAUAAAACAUUCACUUUUAUAAUUCUUUUCAUUUAUUUGUCUUACAAGAGAACUUUAUUAAGGAUCACUAAACCAAUAGUGAAGUUCCAGUGGGGAUGUAUUGCAACUGUUUUGCUGCUGUCUAUUAAGCCACUCUUCAAAACAAAUUAAAUAAUUAUGGAAAUGUAUUUGUAGAGUGGGAGGGCAGUGUGAUCAAAAGUGCCAAAAACCUUUUUUUGGGGAGGAGUGAAAAUUACAUCUGUGGAGCACUGUUGAUACAGACAUUUUUCUAAAGGGUUCUGAGCAGAAAAAUUAUCUGGAAACCUUAUUUGGAUUGAACAAUUUGGUCUCAAUAAUUAACUUUCUAACAUGGGUGGAUGAAAACAGUAGGACCAUAAUUGAUAAUGUUUUAUUUGACAAAGCCCCAAGUAAGAAAAUAACUGUUUACACAGUGACAAAUGCUCUUUCUGAUCAUUAUGCACAAUUAAUUAGGAUAAAUAAUAUAGCGCCUUACAGUAUGGAUACUCCUCAGUGGAAAUCAGUUAGAAUAAUUGACUCCAGGACAAAUGUUUUUGAGAACAGCCUACGGGAGAUGACAUGGGACGUAAUUUAUAAUGAACCAAAUGCUAACAUAAAAUUUAAUAUAUUCCAUUGUAAAAAAACCAUGGAUCACUGGAGGAAUUAAAGUAUCGUGUGAACGGAAAAGCGAAAUGUAUCUUUUUACAAGAACAAGGAGGGAUUCUGCAGUGGUUGCACAUUACAAAAACUACUCAAAAUGACUAAGAAAGGUUAUUAAAAAAAUCAAAGAACAUGCACAUAAUGUCAGAAAUCGGUACUUCCAACAACAGAAUUAAGGCUAUAUGGAAUUUAGUGUAAUAAGAGACAGAGCAUCUAGCCACAGAACACGACAAAAUCACUAUUAAUCUGAGUGGACGGGCUAUAAAUCAUAAGUCACAGGUGGCAAAUGCAUUUGAUAAUCAUUUCACAAAUAUAGUAAAAAGCAUAGGGACAAACAGUUCAAGAGCAAAAUCACAGCAGUA